UUGAGUAUUUGUGGAGGACACAUGAAAAUGAUAAGUCACUGCCUCUGGGAAGGGAAACAGGGGGCCAGGAAGAAAGGCUGGGAGAUCUUUCAUUUUUCAUUUUAUACACUUUUGGAUUUUGUAGUGUGUACUUUUAUUACUUGGUCCAAAAAUUACUUUUUUGAAUUGACCAACCAAGGUCAUCAGUACCAAGAGGUAAAGACAGGACUCAAACCCAGAUCUGCAAGCGCAGCACCUGAGCCCUGUUCCUGACCUCAAGAGAGGUUAUGUAAAUCGACAGUUUUAACCCAAAUCAAUCCACUUGGGCACAGCUGAGACAUAAAAGAGGCAGCUGAAAUCCCAGGGAAGACACAGAUGCCUGUCUCUGCAGCAUAGAAAUGACAUUCUCAGCAGCCCACUGGGCUUUGAGCUGCUUUCGAAAGGCGGCAGAAUCUAUAAGGUCGGAGCAUGGUGAGACUCUGCAGAGACUCCCUGAGUCAAAAUGAUCUGGGUCCCAGUAAGGUCCAACUGUGACCUUGUUGAGGUCACUCAGCCUCUCUGACCUUGAUUUCUUCACUGGGGAAAUGAAGACGGUAAUAUUCCCUUUCCAUGGGUUGGCGUUGCUAUGAAUCUACCAGAGCCCCUAAAAGUGAAGUGUCAGUCCCGGGAAGCCCUUUGGACCUCCAGCCAGCUUGCUGAGGGACUGUGGCAGGUGGCUGGCCCUCUCUGUCCUAUGCUAGAAGACAAUGGUGAGAUGGGGCUGUGUGGACUGUCAUACAUGGUAGAGUGCUGACCCUGGGAAGACUUUCCCCUCUCCUGGGCGGGCAGGUGCUCUGUGGGGUUCCCCCCCAAUCCUGGCAUUUUAGGACUCAGGCACACUUCUGAGCUGAGCAUUCACGUUUCAGCUUUUUUUUUUUUGAGACAAAGUCUUACUAUGUCACCCUCGGUAGAGUGCUAUGGCGUUACAGCUCACAGCAACCUCAAACUCUUGGCUCAAGAGAUUCUCUUACCUCAGUCUCUCAAGUAGCUAGGACUACAGGUGCCCGUCACAACACCUGGCUGUUUUUUUGUUAUUGUUGUCAGGCCCUGGCUGUGUUCAAACCCACUAGCCCCGGUGCAUGUGGCUGGAGCCCUAAACCCUGAGCUAUGGGUGCUGAGCCAGAGCUUCUUUUUUAUAAGUUGCCCUCAACAGCAUGCAGAGCAAGUGGACAGUUGAUGGCCUUGGCUUGCUGACUCCUGAGGAAGACCCGAGGAUGACUCCAGGGAGUCCCCAUUGGACAAUAAGGGAGAUUGAAAGAAGUCAAAUCUUUUGUCCUGGGCCAUGCAGUGAGGAAGUGUCCAGCUGUGAUUCUGUGGCAUAACACCCGCACUGUAUCCUUGUGCCCCGAGGGGACUCUGUGGAUCCCUUCUUGGUGUGAGAGGCCUGUGUGACUCAAAGGAUGAAGAGCAGGAAUGUUCUUUAGUGCCUCUCCAGGGCCAGCAAGGACUGGACACUCAAAAACAUUGGCAGAAGGAACCUUCUGGCAUGGCGUAGUCAGAAGGGACUUGAGGCAGGGAACACAGUAGCUGAGGUGGCUGUGUGGCCUCCUGGGGACUGGCCCUUCCUGCGGCAUCUUUUACAGGGUCCUUGCUCCAUACCCAAGAGGGGUAUAAAAGGCUGUGGUGCAAUCCAGGCAUUGGCUUUCUGGCUUCAGCAGGCAUCUCUGUGAAAAUACAGGCCCUCUGCGUUGUGUUCCAAGAGUCAGGGCAUCAGGCGGGCCCUUGCCUCGGUCUUCAUCCUCCAGUCCCCCUUGACCCUCACCCACGCACCCCCAAACACCAGGUAAUUGAAAGAAGAUGUGGAUUACAGAGCAGCUCAGAACUAUCUGAUGAGGUGGAGUGGAAAUCCCUCCUGCCUCAUGGAAGAACAUACGCUGGGGAAAAGAACCCCUGUUCAAUAAAUGGUGCUGGGGGAACUGAAUAACCAC